GAAAUGCGAUAAGUAAUGUGAAUUGCAGAUUUCAGUGAAUCAUCGAAUCUUUGAACGCAAGUGGCGCUCCGGGGUAUGCCUCGGAGCAUACCUGUUCGAGCAUCGCAAUAUUCAUCAACAUCAAACCUUCAUUGGUUUGAUCGUUGGACGAUGUCCGUUGCGAUCCCCUCUCGGGGGGAACGCAUCGGUGAUCAAAGUCAUUCCCUAGUGCUCGACGUGCCCUCGCCGGCUCUCGACCAAAACGAAUGCUGUGGUGAUGCGUCUUUGUAUGCUUCCACUCGGUGCUCGUUCGGGAGUAUUCCAAACGACGAGGGGUUGGUCGAACCACUGCUGGGUCACAUCCAAUUCCUCCUUAUUCAUUUAGGGAGGGAGCGGCAAAAUUAUCCACUCACGAUCUCGA
rnacentral:misc_RNA from 1 species